rnacentral:misc_RNA from 1 species
UUAAUUAGUGCAAAACUAAUAUGACUUCAACCAUAAUUCCUGCUACGUAGGAGAGGGCAAAUCUAGUUAUAGCUGCAUUUCUUAUUGAUAAAACCAUUAGGUAGAUAAACAUAACAUGUUGACACAGAGGACAUUAAGAAGCAUUCAGUUGCAUUAAAUACAACUCAAUGAAAAGCUUCGCCUCAGAGUUCAACCCCAAGGCCAUUUGGCAUCUCUCCACUUAAACUGGCGUUCUAUAUAAUUCCCGUCAGAGAAAUUUCCUGGACAAAAUCCAUCAUGGGGCAAAUAUUUAUCCUUGUCCUUUGCAGGUGCUUGACUGCAUUGAAGCUUUUGAUCACGUGCCAUUGCUUCCUCCCUAUAUUUAGGGCUAUUAUACCUUGGGUGUUGGAUAUAUGGCACAUUUUUCCACCACAGUUUAAGGGCAUGCCAAUAUAUCCAGAAUGCAACUUUAUGAGGCAUCAACCAGAAGAACAAAUCAUGAUCACUACCCAAGAACAGGGAGAUUCUUUUAGCUUUCAAAGUAGCCACAAAAUAGUCACCGAGCUCAGGGUGUUGAACUGAAAUGGACACAGAUAAGCCGUCACCAGGAGCAUUUGCUCUGAUUCUCCAAUCCCCCAACAUAUCCAUAAAAGGGCUGACAUGCAAUGGUUUUGCCACUAAAUCUGAGUUUGGAUCGAAAACAAAUAUGACUCUUUCACCCCAUGGUGUAUUUGUUACCUCAGCAAUGCAUUUCUUCAAAUGCUGAAUAGAGCCUUCAAGGUCAUAGCAAUAAUACACACUCAAAGGAUUUUGAUCAUAUCCCACGCUGGGAGGUAUUGUCAGGAGAAAAACUGGUCCAGUGGUCUCCGUUUUUUGGCGAGCCUCGUCGGCGGAGAGGUGGCCAGGUGGCGAUUUGGACGAGUUGUCUAGGUCAAAAAGUGCAUAACGAACAGAG